CUUCAUCCACAAACCCUCUAACUUCUUCUAAGUGUUAGGGUUUUAACUACAAAUCCCAAAAAUAUUGUAUGCUGCUCUUGUUUCUACACAACCAUAUAGUUUCUCUAACUCAAUAAAGUGAAGAGUCAGCCACUUGCUUGGAUGGAGAUCAUGGAAAGAGGAAAUAUAGGGCUAAAGGAAUCUAAAUUAAUAGCUCAAGCUCUUAUUCAGCCAUAUUAACAACCUAUUUGUCACUAUUUCUAAUGGUGAGAC
rnacentral:lncRNA from 10 species